UACGUAGGGGGCAAGCGUUGUCCGGAAUCAUUGGGCGUAAAGCGCGUGUAGGCGGCUCGGUAAGUCCGCUCUGAAAGUCCGGGGCUCAACCCCGGGAGGCGGGUGGAUACUGUCGAGCUCGAGUCCGGAAGAGGCGAGUGGAAUUCCUGGUGUAGCGGUGAAAUGCGCAGAUAUCAGGAGGAACACCGAUGGCGAAGGCAGCUCGCUGGGACGUGACUGACGCUGAGACGCGAAAGCGUGGGGAGCGAACAGG
rnacentral:rRNA from 1 species